UAGGGAAUCUUCGGCAAUGGACGAAAGUCUGACCGAGCAACGCCGCGUGAGUGAAGAAGGUUUACGGAUCGUAAAACUCUGUUGUUAGAGAAGAACAAGGACGUUAGUAACUGAACGUCCCCUGACGGUAUCUAACCAGAAAGCCACGGCUAACUACGUGCCAGCAGCCGCGGUAAUACGUAGGUGGCAAGCGUUGUCCGGAUUUAUUGGGCGUAAAGCGAGCGCAGGCGGUUUCUUAAGUCUGAUGUGAAAGCCCCCGGCUCAACCGGAGAGGGUCAUUGGAAACUGGGAGACUUGAGUGCAGAAGAGGAGAGUGGAAUUCCAUGUGUAGCGGUGAAAUGCGUAGAUAUAUGGAGGAACACCAGUGGCGAAGGCGGCUCUCUGGUCUGUAACUGACGCAGAGGCUCGAAAGCGUGGGGAGCAAACAGG
rnacentral:rRNA from 1 species